rnacentral:rRNA from 1 species
CUGAUGCAGCCAUGCCGCGUGUGUGAAGAAGGCCUUCGGGUUGUAAAGCACUUUCAGCGAGGAGGAAAGGUUGGCGCCUAAUACGUGUCAGCUGUGACGUUACUCGCAGAAGAAGCACCGGCUAACUCCGUGCCAGCAGCCGCGGUAAUAC